UGGGGGAACAGAAGGCAGAUACAACACCUGGGACAGGAUGGAGGAAGUUAAAGAGAGCAAGAUCACCGCUAUGACAACUAUGUCAAGACAAGACCGGGGGGACGUGGACAGACUGCCAAAGCACACUGCCAGAGAUGGGACGCAUACCAAGGUCAGGACACAAAUCCUCAAGCGAAGGAAAGCCCGGUGCCAACCCCCUCCAGAAAGACGCAAUGUAAACUUUUUCGACUCCCCUACAGAUUCCCUGCAUACCACAGACCCAUGGGCAGAUGUUAUGCAUUACCGCAUCUCUCUGCAGUCUCUGUCCCGAACACCGAUCCAAUCCUCACAAGGUUGUUGC